GAAUGCGAUAAGUAGUGUGAAUUGCAGAAUUCAGUGAAUCAUCGAAUCUUUGAACGCACAUUGCGCCCUUUGGUAUUCCUUAGGGCAUGCCUGUUCGAGCGUCAUCUAAACCUUCAAGCCCUGCUUGGUGUUGGGUGCCUGUCCCGCCUCCGCGCGCGGACUCACCUCAAAUCCAUUGGCGGCCCCCGCGUCGGCCACGAGCGCAGCAGAAACGCGAACUCGUGAGCCCGUCCGGGCGGCUCCCAGAAGCUACACCCACCCAGUUUGACCUCGGAUCAGGUAGGGAUACCCGCUGAACUUAAGC
rnacentral:misc_RNA from 1 species